rnacentral:lncRNA from 1 species
AGCAUGGUUUUUGAGUGGCUCCAAAAACAUUCAGUACAUUUAGCUCCUGGCAUCAUUCUACCAUCUUGGGUGCCACUCGAAAAUAAAAAAAUGAAGAAACAAAACAAGAAGCCUGAGAAAUUCUUUUUUACAGAGAGCAGGACCUGUCACAGUGAUGGAAUCUGCAGGCCAGUGGAAGUUUGUUAGCUGGUUUCCCAUGCUGCGGGCAAAGAGCAUACUAAAUCCCCGUGGAGUGUGACUUCUCCCCCUCUGUACACCCUGGAACAUAACUCUGCCGUACUGGCCAAGUGCUACAGCCGAAACGAGAACAGUAUCUGGUUAAGCAGAUGUGUAUCAACAACUACACUCUGGAAAAAAGGACGUAACUCUGGUUCUGCCACUUAGCAACUGCAAGAUCAACCACUCUGUGCCUCAGUGUCCUUUAAAAUCGGGUUAAUAACACUACCCAAUGCAGAAAGCUGUGUGAGAUGGUAUAUUAAAGGGUCCAUGAGUGCCAAGGCACAUGGUCAUGCAACAUAAAUCUUAGUUUUCUGUUACAGUAUUCAAGGUAUGUAGUAUUCGUACAUAGCAUUGCAUGCACACAUACAUACAAACAUAAAACUGACAUUUUCUUUUCUGCAUCAUGGUAACUACCUUAUUUUCCUAUGGUGUGUCC